GAUGAAGAACGUAGCGAAAUGCGAUAAGUAGUGUGAAUUGCAGAAUUCAGUGAAUCAUCGAAUCUUUGAACGCACAUUGCGCCCCAUGGUAUUCCGUGGGGCAUGCCUGUUCGAGCGUCAUUUACCCCCUCAAGCUCCGCUUGGUGUUGGGCGUCUGUCCCGCUUCGCGCGCGGACUCGCCCCAAAGGUAUUGGCAGCGGUCGUGCCAGCUUCUCGCGCAGCACAUUGCGCUUCUCGAGGCACCGGUGGGCCCGCGUCCAUCAAGCUCACCCCCCCAGAUUGACCUCGGAUCAGGUAGGGAUACCCGCUGAACUUAAGCAUAUCAGUAAGCGGAGGA
rnacentral:misc_RNA from 1 species